GGGGAUUUGCCAUGGGCGAAGCCUGAUCCAGCCUGCCGCGUGUGUGAAGAAGGUCUUCGGAUUGUAAAGCACUUUAAGUUGGGAGGAAGGGCAGUAACCUAAUACGUUGCUGUCUUGACGUUACCGACAGAAUAAGCACCGGCUAACUCUGUGCCAGCAGCCGCNGGUAAUAAACU
rnacentral:rRNA from 1 species